rnacentral:rRNA from 1 species
GCUUGUCUCAAAGAUUAAGCCAUGCAUGUCUAAGUAUAAACAAAUUAUACUGUGAAACUGCGAACGGCUCAUUAAAUCAGUUAUCGUUUAUUUGAUAUUUCCUUACUACAUGGAUAACCGUAGUAAUUCUAGAGCUAAUACAUGCAAAAAAUUCCAACCUUUCGAGGGAGGAAUGCAUAUAUUGGAUUAAAAACCAAUCCAUACUUCGGUAUGGUUUUAUGGUGAUUCACAAUAUCUUUGCGAACCGUAUGGCUUUUGCCGACGGUAGGUCAUUCAAAUUUCUGCCCUAUCAGCUUUCGAUGGUAGUGUAGUGGACUACCAUGGCAUUUACGGGUGACGGAGAAUUAGGGUUCGAUUCCGGAGAGGGAGCCUGAGAAAUGGCUACCACAUCCAAGGAAGGCAGCAGG